AGUGAACGCUGGCGGUAGGCCUAACACAUGCAAGUCGAACGGCAGCACAGGAGAGCUUGCUCUCUGGGUGGCGAGUGGCGGACGGGUGAGGAAUACAUCGGAAUCUACUCUGUCGUGGGGGAUAACGUAGGGAAACUUACGCUAAUACCGCAUACGACCUACGGGUGAAAGCAGGGGAUCUUCGGACCUUGCGCGAUUGAAUGAGCCGAUGUCGGAUUAGCUAGUUGGCGGGGUAAAGGCCCACCAAGGCGACGAUCCGUAGCUGGUCUGAGAGGAUGAUCAGCCACACUGGAACUGAGACACGGUCCAGACUCCUACGGGAGGCAGCAGUGGGGAAUAUUGGACAAUGGGCGCAAGCCUGAUCCAGCCAUACCGCGUGGGUGAAGAAGGCCUUCGGGUUGUAAAGCCCUUUUGUUGGGAAAGAAAUCCAGCUGGUUAAUACCCGGUUGGGAUGACGGUACCCAAAGAAUAAGCACCGGCUAACUUCGUGCCAGCAGCCGCGGUAAUACGAAGGGUGCAAGCGUUACUCGGAAUUACUGGGCGUAAAGCGUGCGUAGGUGGUUAUUUAAGUCCGUUGUGAAAGCCCUGGGCUCAACCUGGGAACUGCAGUGGACACUGGAUGACUAGAAUGUGGUAGAGGGUAGCGGAAUUCCUGGUGUAGCAGUGAAAUGCGUAGAGAUCAGGAGGAACAUCCAUGGCGAAGGCAGCUACCUGGACCAACAUUGACACUGAGGCACGAAAGCGUGGGGAGCAAACAGG
rnacentral:rRNA from 1 species